UUGGUUAAAGUUCCGCGAGCGUUCAUGGUACGUUCUCGCAGGUGAGUCCACCGGCAAAAAAGAAAAAAAUGCACACACAGCACCACAGAGGUCCACCUGUGCUGACUCCCUCUGUUGUAUCCGUCAGGGAGUAACCGUUAACGUUAGGGAGCGGCAGGCCAUGUCACUGGGGGGCGGAGUGCCGACAGCAAAUCACAACCAACCCCAGCAACCUCAGUGGGGAACCAGUCAGGCAAUUAUUGGCUGUCGUCUGGAAGCUUAGCUAUAUCAUCACACAUGUUUUACAUCUGGGCACUGAGAGUCUCUCCACGCAUGCUUCCCUGUGUCAUGUACGCAUAGAUAACACUGGGCGGGGUAUUCGCUUCCUUGGCUCCACCAAUGAACACAAUUGUUUUGUCAACAUUUGUUACCUAAGGGCCUGCUUGCCACUUUUCAGCAUGGCUUAGGCAGCCUGUUUUUUUAUUUCUCAUAAUUUGCGGGAAAACUAUCUUAUUAAUAUUGAAUAUAACAAAGCAACCAAAAUUUGUGUAAUUGCCUUCCAUGAUUUUACCAGAAUACAAAAUGUAUGUAGAGGAUUCUGAAUUCAGUGAUAAGUUGUCAGCACACCCCCAUGCAGACCUUCUUGCAUCACUUAAUGUAAACUAUUUCUACUACGAGUAGCCAAACUCUAUCCAAGUGUUUAUUUUUUGUUGUCAGUCUUAAUAGAAGAGGACAAAAUAUACUCCAGACCUGUAGCUCAAAUACUUCAAAAAGUUACAAAUGUCUCCUAAAAAAAAGAAACAGAUAAGUUGUGGAAUUUUCCCAUGAAUUGUGAUUGACAGCUGAGGGUCACAGAGAUGGCUCUAAUCAUAAUAUUUGUCUUUAACAUUUCCCUAAGGACAGCCUAUAAGGAGUUGUAUGAAAGUAUGAAAGUUUAAACAAAAGUUCAAACAAAAUUCGGGAGGGCGGCUCAAGUUCAUGUUUGUCUGUAGCAAGGUUGCUACAUUUGCAUAAGACUUAAACGGGUACCCAGGCCUCCAGGCAUGGUGAACUUGACCCAGGAAUGAACUUGGAAGGGGCGGAAUUCUACAAACAUUCUGUCACCUAUAAAUCAUGUUUGUAGACUGGGAAGGUAAAGGGUUGAAGCACACCAGAUGUGCAAGGUCAGCAAGGAUAGGUUUCCACACGUGACUGAAUCAAGGUUGAAUGAACCAAGUUAUCAUAUGGUAUUUCAGACAAUAAAUGGGUCUUCCUGUUAACAUAUUAUCAAAUCAUACUUGCUACCUUGCACAUUUGUGGAUACGACUGUAAGUAACUUUUUUUAAAGAAUGAUACGUACAACUAUAAACCAGGAAACUAGUUACUUGUAUACGGUUAAUCCAUAGACAAAGUUAAGUUACACUUGGUGUCUAACUAAGUCUACAAUGACCAAUCUAUACUAGUAUGCACAUGUUGGACUUCUCGCGUCAAGACAGCUGUACAAUGUAAGUGUAAGGACAGAUGGAGCGUAUAGAAAUUAAAACCAGGAGCCUAUUUUAUAUGCCCACUGAUGGGCACAUGAUUAGGAAUUAGUCUAGUAAAUAGGAAUAACUGUGCUUGGUGGGGGCACUGGUAUGGCACAUAAAACCAUUCAUUACAAAUAGACUGCAUUGCAUAACAAUUUGAAAGCUUGUUUUGUACCUUAACAAUGAAAUUUGUUUUGUUAUGAUCAUUCUGUGGGUUGAGCACCAGAGCUACUUUUUCUGAGUAGGUGGUAA